GUAUAUACAAGAACAUACCUAAUUGUAACAAAGGAACUUGAAAGUACACAGGAAGUUUUAUAGUAUCAUUACAUUCAAUUAAAGGUAUUGAAUGUCUUCAGUGACAUUCAAAGGAUGUAUGCUUCUCCAGAAAAAAUAAAUGCAUGCAUGCUUGUGUAAAAUAAUAAAAUAUUAGAAAAUGAGGAAUCGAUUUAUGGAGAAAAAAUCUGCUUUUGUGUUGGGAAUGAAAAUAAAGAAUGAAUGUAUGGGAACUCUUGCUACCCCACAUACUGAAGAAGCAAUCAAAGUUGUGGAUAGAGUUGGAGACUUUGGGGGGUUGAUUCAGAAAUAUGAGAUGGAUGGAUCUCCGGCUUUAAAGCUGGACCUCUCACUUGACACGCCAAUAACUUUUCACAGAAAUCACACACUCACAUAUUGCAAGGUUGGAUGACUUGUAUACGUGUGCACGGGUUAUCAUCUGCCGUAUAUAAAGACUGUUGCGAAAUGUGGGAGCCAUGUUGAUGGGUUUCACCAUGCUACUCAUCCAGAAGAUGGAACAUCUGCUGAUGUAUUUUAAGGGGGGAAUGUAAAAGAAUUAUGAUAGUGUUAUUACAAUGUUAUUGCAAUGUCAAGACAGAAUUACAAUGGAUUGCAACACAACGUUAUAUUUUACUUAUUUACAAUUUAUGUUUUUUUAUU